GCGAACGCUGGCGGCAUGCCUAACACAUGCCAGUCUAACGAGACCUUCGGGUCUAGUGGCGCACGGGUGCGUAACGCGUGGGAACCUGCCCUUAGGUUCGGCAUAACUCCCCGAAAGGGGUGCUAAUACCGGAUAAUGUCUUCGGACCAAAGAUUUAUCGCCUUUGGAUGGGCCCGCGUUGGAUUAGCUAGUUGGUAGGGUAAAAGCCUACCAAGGCGACGAUCCAUAGCUGGUCUGAGAGGAUGAUCAGCCACACUGGGACUGAGACACGGCCCAGACUCCUACGGGAGGCAGCAGUGGGGAAUAUUGGACAAUGGGCGAAAGCCUGAUCCAGCAAUGCCGCGUGAGUGAUGAAGGCCUUAGGGUUGUAAAGCUCUUUUACCCGGGAUGAUAAUGACAGUACCGGGAGAAUAAGCUCCGGCUAACUCCGUG
rnacentral:rRNA from 1 species